rnacentral:rRNA from 1 species
GAUGAACGCUGGCGGCGUGCCUAAUACAUGCAAGUCGAGCGAACAGACGAGGAGCUUGCUCCUCUGACGUUAGCGGCGGACGGGUGAGUAACACGUGGAUAACCUACCUAUAAGACUGGGAUAACUUCGGGAAACCGGAGCUAAUACCGGAUAAUAUAUUGAACCGCAUGGUUCAAUAGUGAAAGACGGUUUUGCUGUCACUUAUAGAUGGAUCCGCGCCGCAUUAGCUAGUUGGUAAGGUAACGGCUUACCAAGGCAACGAUGCGUAGCCGGCCUGAGAGGGUGAUCGGCCGCACUGGAACUGAGACACGGUCCAGACUCCUACGGGAGGCAGCAGUAGGGAAUCUUCCGCAAUGGGCGAAAGCCUGACGGAGCAACGCCGCGUGAGUGAUGAAGGUCUUCGGAUCGUAAAACUCUGUUAUUAGGGAAGAACAAAUGUGUAAGUAACUAUGCACGUCUUGACGGUACCUAAUCAGAAAGCCACGGCUAACUACGUG